rnacentral:rRNA from 1 species
CGAUGAUGCCCAGCUUGCUGGGCGGAUUAGUGGCGAACGGGUGAGUAACACGUGAGUAACCUGCCCUUGACUUCGGGAUAACUCCGGGAAACCGGGGCUAAUACCGGAUAUGAGCCGUCCUCGCAUGGGGGUGGUUGGAAAGUUUUUCGGUCAGGGAUGGGCUCGCGGCCUAUCAGCUUGUUGGUGGGGUGAUGGCCUACCAAGGCGACGACGGGUAGCCGGCCUGAGAGGGCGACCGGCCACACUGGGACUGAGACACGGCCCAGACUCCUACGGGAGGCAGCAGUGGGGAAUAUUGCACAAUGGGCGAAAGCCUGAUGCAGCGACGCCGCGUGAGGGAUGAAGGCCUUCGGGUUGUAAACCUCUUUCAGCAGGGAAGAAGCGCAAGUGACGGUACCUGCAGAAGAAGCGCCGGCUAACUACGUGCCAGCAGCCGCGGUAAUACGUAGGGCGCAAGCGUUGUCCGGAAUUAUUGGGCGUAAAGAGCUCGUAGGCGGUUUGUCGCGUCUGGUGUGAAAACUCGAGGCUCAACCUCGAGCUUGCAUCGGGUACGGGCAGACUAGAGUGCGGUAGGGGAGACUGGAAUUCCUGGUGUAGCGGUGGAAUGCGCAGAUAUCAGGAGGAACACCGAUGGCGAAGGCAGGUCUCUGGGCCGCAACUGACGCUGAGGAGCGAAAGCAUGGGGAGCGAACAGGAUUAGAUACCCUGGUAGUCCAUGCCGU